CCAACUGGGAGUCGUUGAGUGGCAAGACCAGGACCGGUAACUCAGUCAAACUUGAUCAAUCAGGACAAGGAGGAGGUGUUGUUAUGAGGGAAUGCUAUCUUCUUCUGAGAAGAGAGAAGAAAUUUCAUUUACUCAAAAAAAUCGAGUGCUUACUAUAUUGCAAGCCCUGCUCUAAGUGUGGGAGAAGUUGAAGAAAGUAAACAGAUCUCCUUCCCUUUAGAACCUCCUUUCUAUGGAGGAGGACAACGGGGGAGUGAGCCCUGGCCCUCCAGGGCUGCAAGUGGACUUGCUUACUUGAGAAGAGGAGUGGAAGAGGUCUCCUGCCUUUUCAUAAGAUGUCUGCAGGAAAAUGACGCCUAGUCGGUUUCUCUGUGAUUAUCUGCCAUGUAUAAGCAAGAAGAAGACUCUGGCUGACAAAUCAGGACUUUCUCCAGACUCCUCGGGGUGAAGACCUCUUGGCUGGCACACACCUUUGGCCAAAUAAUGAAGAGGCUUUGGGCCACCACUGAGGCCAUGAGAGAUAUUUCCAAGCGCAUUGACAGCGUCCCACCUCAGCUCAACACCUGCCUACUAUCAACAUGUCUGAGAAAACUUCUCCUUUUCGCCUCCAAAAAGCAAGAUACUCCUUUCAUUGAAUCUUAAACCAUCAAACUGGGCUGAUCCACCUGCAUAUCACUCCCCUGACAAGUAAGUGAAAGUUAUCAAAAUAGAAAAA
rnacentral:lncRNA from 1 species